UUGAAUGUUGUGACUUUCCAAAUACAGAGUUCAGACUGGAAAAGUAUUUUGAUAGAGAACACACAUUCAUAGAAUCUGAGCAUC
ensembl:snoRNA